rnacentral:tRNA from 1 species
GGUUCUAGCUCAGUGGUAGAGUACUUGCCUAGCACGAGAGGUACUGGGUUUAAUCCUCAGCACCA